GCCCCUUUGGCCAAGUGGUAAGGCGUCCCACUCGUAAUGGGAAGACCACCGGUUCAAUUCCGGUAGGGGGCA
rnacentral:tRNA from 1 species